rnacentral:misc_RNA from 1 species
GCCAAGCCAUAAAGGCAACCCCAACUCUCCUCCAUUUGGUUAUCGAAGCCGAGCCGAAUCGACCUCUCUUCUCUCGCUUGCUUUCUUGCUUCAUCGUCUCGUAAAAUAAUGGAGAAAGCGAUCAAUAGGCAGCGAGUUCUUCUCGAUCACCUCCGUCCUUCUUCAUCGUCUUCGCACAAUUAUGAGUCCUCCCUCUCAGCAUCGGCGUGCUUGGCUGGGGAUAGCGCCGCGUAUCAUAGGACUUCGGUGUAUGGAGAUGAUGUUGUGAUUGUAGCAGCAUAUCGAACUCCGUUGUGCAAAUCUAAGCGUGGUGGUUUCAAGGAUACUCAUGCUGAUGAUUUACUUGCUCCUGUUUUGAAGGCAGUGAUAGAGAAAACAAAUUUGAACCCAAGUGAAGUAGGGGAUAUUGUUGUGGGCACAGUGUUGGCACCGGGAUCUCAAAGAGCAAGUGAAUGCAGGAUGGCUGCAUUCUAUGCCGGUUUUCCUGAAACUGUGCCUAUUAGGACUGUUAACAGGCAAUGUUCGUCUGGGCUUCAGGCAGUUGCUGAUGUAGCUGCAGCUAUCAAAGCAGGCUUUUAUGACAUUGGCAUUGGAGCUGGUUUGGAAUCCAUGACGAGUAAUCCAAUGGCUUGGGAUGGAGAUGUGAAUCCAAAAGUAAAGGCCUUUGAGCAAGCCCAAAAUUGCCUUUUGCCCAUGGGUGUUACUUCAGAAAAUGUUGCACAUCGUUUUGGGGUGACUAGACAGGAGCAGGAUCAGGCUGCAGUUGAGUCUCAUAGGAAGGCAGCUGCUGCUACUGCUUCUGGCAAAUUCAAGAAUGAGAUAAUCCCUGUGGCUACCAAGAUUGUUGACCCAAAAACUGGACAUGAGAAACCUGUCACCAUCUCCGUUGAUGAUGGAAUUCGUCCUAACACAUCAUUAUCAGAGCUAGGAAAACUGAAGCCUGUGUUUAAGAAAGAUGGAACCACUACCGCUGGGAAUUCUAGCCAAGUAACUGAUGGUGCUGGGGCUGUGUUGCUCAUGAAAAGAAGUGUGGCAAUGCGUAAAGGGCUACCUAUCCUUGGUGUGUUCAGGUAUGCAGCUCCUAUAAAUUUAAUUACUCAUAGUGAUAAUUUAUCUUUCUUAAGGUGCUGAAAGUAGAAAUUACUGGAGCUGCACAUAGUUUUUGUCCUCUGAUCUCAAUUUGUUUAACCAGAUUAAGGGUGGUGACCUCAUUCAGGGCCAAGGAUUUUGCAUAAAUAGAGGAAUUUUACUGCUGCUUUUUCUUUUUCCCAAUGAAGUAUUCUUUUGCUCAUGCAGGACUUUUGCUGCUGUGGGUGUGGAUCCGGCCAUCAUGGGCAUUGGUCCAGCUGUAGCAAUUCCAGCUGCAGUGAAGGCUGCUGGACUAGAACUUGCUGACAUUGAUCUUUUUGAGAUAAAUGAGGCAUUUGCUUCUCAGUUUGUUUAUUGCCGUAAGAAGUUGGAGCUUGAUCCGGAGAAGAUCAAUGUCAAUGGAGGUGCAAUGGCCAUUGGGCAUCCUCUAGGUGCAACAGGUGCCCGCUGUGUAGCCACUCUACUGCAUGAGAUGAAGCGUCGGGGUAGAGAUUGUCGCUUUGGGGUGGUGUCCAUGUGCAUAGGCACGGGAAUGGGAGCAGCGGCUGUUUUUGAAAGAGGGGACGCUGCUGAUGAUCUCUGCAAUGCCCGGAGAGUAUAAACCAAUGACCUGUUAUCCAAGGAUGCUAUGUAGACGGAUGCUUUUUUUCUUCCUUAUCGUAGAACUAUGAAAUAAUAUCACAUUGGGGAGUUCCGAAUUUCCAACUAUUGAUAAACAGUAUAAUAAAGCGGUUUAAUUUUUUUUAUUCGGAAAGAAGAACCGAAAUGCAGGAAUCAAAUUGGUUAUAUUUAUUGGAUUUUUCAUCUCGGCGUUUGCUUGUGCGCCUGGAGCCCCUUUCAUCCACAUCAAUGAAUAUGAAGAAGCAUGGGCUUGUAUGCAUCUUCGACGAUCCAUCUUCUCGUGAUGUUGAUAUAUAUAUAUAUAAUACUUUUUUUCCUCUUUCCUCUUUUUUUCUUUCGACUUCCCCUAUUCUCUUCCGCAUUAAAACUCACUUGCCCGUUAACUGACGACGUCGGUAUGUCAAAAUAUUAAAUGCAUAAGUAAUAAACUAAUAAUUAUCCUAACCUUUUCAAUUAGGAUGAAUUUAAGUAAUUAGGCUACUAUUAACUUGUAAAAUGAAUCAGUUGUAGCGGAAUUAUCUUAGCCCUUUUGUUGUUUUAACACAGAACUAACAAGGCGUCUUACUUAAAUUUCUCUUGCGUGUGAGAUUCUGCUUUCUUUGUAGAAACUCUCCUUUCCAUCAUAUUUUGUUAUUUUAUUUUUUACUUUUUUUUUAAAUUGUUUUCUUUGAGAUCUUUUACCCUUUUGGCACAAAAAUGCUAAACCAUCCAGUGCUCCAUCCCCUCCAUAACUCCACCACACACUGUACUUUUUCAAAGAUCUUUUUAAUUUCAAUUUAUUUU